rnacentral:tRNA from 1 species
AUUUAAAUAAUUUAAAAAUAAAAUAUUGAUUUGUGGUGUCAAAAAUAUGAUAAAAAUCAUUUUAAAUU